rnacentral:rRNA from 1 species
CACGUAGGGGGCAAGCGUUGUCCGGAUUUAUUGGGCGUAAAGAGCUCGUAGGCGGCUCAGUAAGUCGGGUGUGAAACCUCCAGGCUCAACCUGGAGACGCCACCUGAUACUGCUGUGGCCGGAGUCCGGUAGGGGAGCGUGGAAUUCCCGGUGUAGCGGUGAAAUGCGCAGAGUAUCGGGAAGAACACCCGUGGCGAAGGCGGUUCUGCUGGGACGGUACUGACGCUGAGACGCGAAAGCGUGGGGAGCGAACAGG